ensembl:lncRNA
CGUUGUUAUGACUACCUUGUAACCAAGCCUUUGUUUCAGGACGCAUGUUAGAACCAUGUUAUGCUUAGAUUCUGACUUCUGUGGCUGACUCCUGUUUAUUUGCCUGACAAAAUCCCUCAUUUUCUAUAUUGUAUUAUAUUAGCUGUACAUUGAAGUGGAAAGAUCCUAAGGCUGCUCUAGUACACCAAGAAGAAGGCCGUGCCUUAUGAAGAAUCAGAAACUGUCAUGGAACAUCGUUGCUGGUGAUCAGCAAGAUACCUGUAUUGGCUGGUUUUGUGUGUCAACUUGACACAAGCUGAAGUUAUCACAGAAAGGAGCUUCAGUUGAGGAAAUGCCUCCAUGAGACCCAGCUGUAAGGCAUUUUCUCAACAGUGAUCAAGUUCUAGGCUAGAAAGAUGAAUCAACAGAUAGAAGUUCAUGAAACCUGUGUGAGGACGGCCAAGAACUGACUCCAUGAAGUUGUCCUCCGACCUACACUCACCCAUCGCGAUGCCAACCACGUUUUAAACAAGACUUUCUGAUCCAGAAACACUAGCACAUGCCUGUUGUCUCGGAACUUGAGGAGACUACUUGAGCUCAGGAGCGUGAGCACAGCCUAGGAAGCACAGUGAAACUACGUUAAAAGAAGGAAACCUCCAAAAUGGCUCCUUCCGCCGUCAUGUCAUCUAUUAAUCCCUCUAGAACUAAUAAACCAUUUAAAUUUUAAAUAGCGUUUGUAUGUUACAAAAGGAUAUAUUUAAAACAACAGAAUCUUAGUAAGAGGGUAUUUCUGCCAGUCUCCUUGUUGCCAG